rnacentral:sRNA from 1 species
CAGUUAAGUGACUAAUGUAUACUGGG